ACUGGUCCAUCUGUGCCUUAUCUGAAGGCUGGAAAGCUGUCACCUGCAGGCACUAGGGGAGCCAAGCUACCCUAGGAUGGGUUCCUGAUUUGACCGUGACUGCCUGAUACAGGAAGAAUAUAGGAUACCAGUCUCGGAGGACUGGCCCCUUGGACAUGCUGCCAUGUCACUACCCUGACUGUACUCCAGUGAACUUCUAAGAGCCUUGUAAGGAAAGAGAAAGGCAAUGGGGACUGCUGGGAAGAAGGGUCUGAAGAGGGGAAGGUGGAGCGUGGAGGAAGAGCAGGCACCAGGAGCCAGAAGGUCAGGAAGAGGAUUUACUCUCUUGCCAUCUUCUUGUGGAAACCCAACCACAUGUUGACUUGACCCUACCUUGAACUCCUGACCCCUAGAGCCCUUUGCUGUGUACUCUUUCAAAGUUGUUGUGUUGGUGGGAGUAUGUUACAUUUACCACAGGAAACUAAAAUCACCCUUUAAAAUAAAAUGCCCAGAUUCAUCGCUUUCCUCCUUA